rnacentral:rRNA from 1 species
CAGGUAGGACUGAACUUAAGCAUAU